UACGGAGGGGGCAAGCGUUGUUCGGAAUUACUGGGCGUAAAGCGCACGUAGGCGGUUUUGUAAGUCUGGGGUCAAAGGCGACAGCUCAACUGUCGUAAGGCCUUAGAUACUAUAGAACUGGAGUGCCAGAGAGGAUGGCGGAAUUCCCUGUGUAGCGGUGAAAUGCGUAGAUAUCGGGAGGAACACCAGUGGCGAAGGCGGCUUCCUGGCCUGUUACUGACGCUGAGAUGCGAAAGCGUGGGGAGCGAACGGG
rnacentral:rRNA from 1 species